UGAGGAAUCUUGGACAAUGGGGGCAACCCUGAUCCAGCGACGCCGCGUGAAGGAUGAAGGUCUUCGGAUUGUAAACUUCUUUUGUUGGGGAAUAAAAAAUUCAUGGAAACAUGAAGAUUGAAGGUACCCGAUGAAUAAGCCACGGCUAACUUCGUGCCAGCAGCCGCGGUAAUACGAAGGUGGCAAGCGUUACUCGGAAUUACUAGGCGUAAAGGGCAGGUAGGUGGUUCGGUAAGUCUGUUGUGUAAGCUCCUGGCUUAACUGGGAGAGGUCAACGGAAACUACCGGACUUGAGUAUAGGAGAGGUUACUGGAAUUCCCGGUGUAGCGGUGAAAUGCGCAGAGAUCGGGAGGAACACCAAUGGCGAAAGCAGGUAACUGGACUAUUACUGACACUAAGCUGCGAAAGCUAGGGGAGCAAACAGGAUUAGAUACCCGCGUAGUCC
rnacentral:rRNA from 1 species